rnacentral:rRNA from 1 species
GAUGAACGCUAGCGGCAGGCCUAACACAUGCAAGUCGAGGGGUAGAAUUAGCUUGCUAAUUUGAGACCGGCGCACGGGUGCGUAACGCGUAUGCAAUCUACCUUGUACAGGGGGAUAGCCCAGAGAAAUUUGGAUUAAUACUCCAUGGUAUAAUUGAAUCGCAUGGUUUGAUUAUUAAAGUUCCAACGGUACAAGAUGAGCAUGCGUCCCAUUAGCUAGUUGGUGUGGUAACGGCAUACCAAGGCGACGAUGGGUAGGGGUCCUGAGAGGGAGAUCCCCCACACUGGUACUGAGACACGGACCAGACUCCUACGGGAGGCAGCAGUGAGGAAUAUUGGUCAAUGGUCGGAAGACUGAACCAGCCAUGCCGCGUGCAGGAAGACGGUCCUAUGGAUUGUAAACUGCUUUUGUACGGGAAGAAACACUCCUUCGUGAAGGAGCUUGACGGUACCGUAAGAAUAAGGAUCGGCUAACUCCGUGCCAGCAGCCGCGGUAAUCA